CCUGAAACCGUGUACGUACAAGCAGUGGGAGCCUCUUUAUGGGGUGACUGCGUACCUUUUGUAUAAUGGGUCAGCGACUUAUAUUCUGUAGCAAGGUUAACCGAAUAGGGGAGCCGAAGGGAAACCGAGUCUUAACUGGGCGUUAAGUUGCAGGGUAUAGACCCGAAACCCGGUGAUCUAGCCAUGGGCAGGUUGAAGGUUGGGUAACACUAACUGGAGGACCGAACCGACUAAUGUUGAAAAAUUAGCGGAUGACUUGUGGCUGGGGGUGAAAGGCCAAUCAAACCGGGAGAUAGCUGGUUCUCCCCGAAAGCUAUUUAGGUAGCGCCUCGUGAAUUCAUCUCCGGGGGUAGAGCACUGUUUCGGCAAGGGGGUCAUCCCGACUUACCAACCCGAUGCAAACUGCGAAUACCGGAGAAUGUUAUCACGGGAGACACACGGCGGGUGCUAACGUCCGUCGUGAAGAGGGAAACAACCCAGACCGCCAGCUAAGGUCCCAAAGUCAUGGUUAAGUGGGAAACGAUGUGGGAAGGCCCAGACAGCCAGGAUGUUGGCUUAGAAGCAGCCAUCAUUUAAAGAAAGCGUAAUAGCUCACUGGUCGAGUCGGCCUGCGCGGAAGAUGUAACGGGGCUAAACCAUGCACCGAAGCUGCGGCAGCGACACUAUGUGUUGUUGGGUAGGGGAGCGUUCUGUAAGCCUGUGAAGGUGGCCUGUGAGGGUUGCUGGAGGUAUCAGAAGUGCGAAUGCUGACAUAAGUAACGAUAAAGCGGGUGAAAAGCCCGCUCGCCGGAAGACCAAGGGUUCCUGUCCAACGUUAAUCGGGGCAGGGUGAGUCGACCCCUAAGGCGAGGCCGAAAGGCGUAGUCGAUGGGAAACAGGUUAAUAUUCCUGUACUUGGUGUUACUGCGAAGGGGGGACGGAGAAGGCUAUGUUGGCCGGGCGACGGUUGUCCCGGUUUAAGCGUGUAGGCUGGUUUUCCAGGCAAAUCCGGAAAACCAAGGCUGAGGCGUGAUGACGAGGCACUACGGUGCUGAAGCGACAAAUGCCCUGCUUCCAGGAAAAGCCUCUAAGCAUCAGGUAACAUCAAAUCGUACCCCAAACCGACACAGGUGGUCAGGUAGAGAAUACCAAGGCGCUUGAGAGAACUCGGGUGAAGGAACUAGGCAAAAUGGUGCCGUAACUUCGGGAGAAGGCACGCUGAUAUGUAGGUGAAGCGACUUGCUCGUGGAGCUGAAAUCAGUCGAAGAUACCAGCUGGCUGCAACUGUUUAUUAAAAACACAGCACUGUGCAAACACGAAAGUGGACGUAUACGGUGUGACGCCUGCCCGGUGCCGGAAGGUUAAUUGAUGGGGUUAGCGGUAACGCGAAGCUCUUGAUCGAAGCCCCGGUAAACGGCGGCCGUAACUAUAACGGUCCUAAGGUAGCGAAAUUCCUUGUCGGGUAAGUUCCGACCUGCACGAAUGGCGUAAUGAUGGCCAGGCUGUCUCCACCCGAGACUCAGUGAAAUUGAACUCGCUGUGAAGAUGCAGUGUACCCGCGGCAAGACGGAAAGACCCCGUGAACCUUUACUAUAGCUUGACACUGAACAUUGAGCCUUGAUGUGUAGGAUAGGUGGGAGGCUUUGAAGUGUGGACGCCAGUCUGCAUGGAGCCGACCUUGAAAUACCACCCUUUAAUGUUUGAUGUUCUAACGUUGGCCCGUAAUCCGGGUUGCGGACAGUGUCUGGUGGGUAGUUUGACUGGGGCGGUCUCCUCCUAAAGAGUAACGGAGGAGCACGAAGGUUGGCUAAUCCUGGUCGGACAUCAGGAGGUUAGUGCAAUGGCAUAAGCCAGCUUGACUGCGAGCGUGACGGCGCGAGCAGGUGCGAAAGCAGGUCAUAGUGAUCCGGUGGUUCUGAAUGGAAGGGCCAUCGCUCAACGGAUAAAAGGUACUCCGGGGAUAACAGGCUGAUACCGCCCAAGAGUUCAUAUCGACGGCGGUGUUUGGCACCUCGAUGUCGGCUCAUCACAUCCUGGGGCUGAAGUAGGUCCCAAGGGUAUGGCUGUUCGCCAUUUAAAGUGGUACGCGAGCUGGGUUUAGAACGUCGUGAGACAGUUCGGUCCCUAUCUGCCGUGGGCGCUGGAGAACUGAGGGGGGCUGCUCCUAGUACGAGAGGACCGGAGUGGACGCAUCACUGGUGUUCGGGUUGUCAUGCCAAUGGCACUGCCCGGUAGCUAAAUGCGGAAGAGAUAAGUGCUGAAAGCAUCUAAGCACGAAACUUGCCCCGAGAUGAGUUCU
rnacentral:rRNA from 1 species